rnacentral:rRNA from 1 species
AGGAAGUAGCAUUCAGAAAAACCAAUUUAUUUUGGCGGCACUUCAUCUUAUUAGAGGAACUUGUUUAAUAAUCGAUAAUCCACGAUAAAUUUCACUUUUCUAAAAACUUAUAUACCGCCAUCUAAAGAAUUAAUUUCAAAAUAUUUUCUUAAUAAAAAAUAGAAAGUUAGGUCAAGGUGUAGUAAAUUUUAAAGAUUAAAAUGAGUUACUUUAAACUUAAUUUUAGAAUUAAGUAACUAAAGCCUCUUAUGAAAAAGGAUUUAUUAGUAAUAAAAUAAUAAAAUAAUAAUAUUUUAUUAUGAACAAGAUAAUAAAUGUGC